GAGUUUGAUCCUGGCUCAGAAUGAACGCUGGCGGCGUGGUUAAGACAUGCAAGUCGAACGGUUUUUCAGGUGUAGCAAUACAUUUGAAAAGCAGUGGCGAACGGGUGCGUAACACGUGAACAAUCUACCUUUUAGUGUGGGAAUAGCUCGGCGAAAGCCGGAUUAAUACCGCAUGUGGUUGGUUCUCGCAUGAGAGCCAUACUAAAGUCAGGGACCGCAAGGCCUGACGCUAUUAGAGGAGUUCGCGGCCUAUCAGCUAGUUGGCGAGGUAACGGCUCACCAAGGCUAAGACGGGUAGCUGAUCUGAGAGGGCGGACGGGACACACUGGGAACUGAGACACGGUCCAGACUCCUACGGGAGGCAGCAGUGGGGAAUUGUUCGCAAUGGGCGCAAGCCUGACGACGCAACGCCGCGUGGAGGA
rnacentral:rRNA from 1 species